rnacentral:rRNA from 1 species
UACGAAUGGAGCGAGCGUUGUUCGGAAUCACUGGGCGUAAAGGGUGCGCAGGCGGUCAUGAAAGUCAGAAGUGAAAUCCCAGGGCUUAACCCUGGAAUGGCUUUUGAAACUCCAUGACUAGAGUAUUGGAGAGGUUGGCGGAAUUCCGAGUGUAGAGGUGAAAUUCGCAGAUAUUCGGAGGAACACCAAUGGCGUAGGCAGCCAACUGGACAAUUACUGACGCUCAUGCACGAAAGCGUGGGGAUCAAACAGGAUUAGAUACCCUUGUAGU